CGGCAAGCAGGGGUCGGAGGCGAGCUCCACGGCGAGCAGAGCAGGGGCUGGGUGCGGCAUGGGAGAGCGAGCUUGAGGGACGCGACCAUUAAUUGGGAAGAACUGAAGGGAGCUCCAUGGAGGUCGCGCGGUCAGGCGAUUUUGAGGGAAGGACGAGCGGGGAAAGCAGACGAACUCCCGGGCUGAGGCCAUUGACGGGCAGAGGGAGCUCGGGCGCCGACGAACCAGCAGGGGAAGACGCCAUGGGGAUGAGAGAGGUCCGCGCGCAGAGGGUUUCGCGAGCUGGGCGAGCAGAGGGAUGGCCGGUAGCGCUGGGAAGAGGCCGAGCGCCAUGAGGAAGAACCUCGGCGUGCAGGAUUUUAUCCAGUGUUUAAGCGGCUGAUGAAAAUAUCAACAGAGGAGCGGCGCAAGAAGAUAAGAACGACGGCUGUGACCUCACCGGCGGUGAGCGGCUGGGCGGCAGGAUUUUUCCGGCGGCUUGAGCGACGUGGCUGGAAGAAGCAAGAAACCAUGGCGCGUGUAGAGAGGAAUAGAAGAAAGAUCAGCAGAGACAGGAGGAUAGAACGGUGGGAGAAUAAGUG
rnacentral:lncRNA from 7 species